rnacentral:pre_miRNA from 7 species
GCUCCUAUGAUAGCAAUGUCAGCGGUGCCUUAGCAGCACGUAAAUAUUGGCGUUAAGAUUCUGAAAUUACCUCCAGUAUUGACUGUGCUGCUGAAGUAAGGUUGGCAAUACUCUACAACUGUAAU